UACGUAGGGGGCAAGCGUUGUCCGGAUUUAUUGGGCGUAAAGAGCGUGUAGGCGGCCUGACAGGUCUGCUGUGAAAACUCGAGGCUCAACCUCGAGAUGUCGGCGGAAACCGUCUGGCUAGAGUCCGGAAGAGGAGAGUGGAAUUCAUGGUGUAGCAGUGAAAUGCGUAGAGAUCAUGAGGAAGACCAGUGGCGAAGGCGGGUCUCUGGACAGUUCCUGACACUGAGACACGAAGGCCAGGGGAGCAAACGGG
rnacentral:rRNA from 1 species